CGCACGGGUGAGUAACACGUAUGCAACCUGCCUGCCACAGCCGGAUAAUCGGGAGAAAUUCCGUCUAAUACGGCAUAAUGCAUCGACGGGACAUCCUGUUGGUGGCAAAGGUUAAUUCCGGUGGCGGAUGGGCAUGCGUCGCAUUAGUUAGUUGGCGGUGUAACGGACCACCAAGACGACGAUGCGUAGGGGUUCUGAGAGGAAGGUCCCCCACACUGGUACUGAGACACGGACCAGACUCCUACGGAAGGCAGCAG
rnacentral:rRNA from 1 species